UAAAACAAUUUAGCUCCAAAAGCAUGAUUUAUAUGAUACCUACUUGCCUCGGAAGAGGGCUAGAAGCAUUAAGAAAUUGGUAAUUAAUAAUAAUAAUAAUAAUAAAUAAAUAAAUAAAGGGCAAACCUCAAAUUUACCAUCCAACUAUUAAAGUAGUUUCAAUUAGACACUCAAAUAUUUUUUUUUAUCAAUUGUCACAAAAAAGAAUUUUUAUUUCUCAAUUAGAUCAUUUUGUUAAAUACAAUUAACCGAGCUGUUAAGUAUCCGCAUCUUCCCCGCAUGAUCCUUACUAGAAGAGAGAAAAUUGAAGGGUGAUUUUCCUUCAAUGUUCUUAACAAUAUAAUAAAUGAUGUGCUCCACGUGACAUUAAAAUCUGGAAUCUCUCAAUACAUAUAGGUAAUCAAUAAAAUGGUUAAAUUGAAAAAUAAAAAUUCUUUAAUCGUAUAAUUGAUAGAGAGAAAAUAUUCUGGAUGCAUAAUUAAGACAAUCCUCCAUGAGAGAGAGAGAGAGGAUUUGUAAGUUACCUUAAGAAUCCAGUUCUGGUGGCAUCAACAAGGGAGAUAUCUUGGAUAGAAGAGGUGGACAUCCAAACAGAAGAGUUAUAGCGACGAAUUUCGUAGCCAUUGCCAAGUUGAAGAACAUCAAACACUGGGCAUUCUAUGCUGGUGCAAGCAGGUGGGUAUAUCGCAACGCCGCUCCUCUUAGCCUCAUCAUGCCAGGGGCCAAAGCUUGCACUUGAGAGAAGGGUCAAGAGAAAUGAUAGCUUCAACAUGCUAAAACCAGAUAUUUGUAGU
rnacentral:lncRNA from 1 species